GCUAGGAAGCUCCCUUGAGUCUUUCUCUCAAGUCCAUGGGUUCACACACCAAUAGAAAGACUAGACUCAUCUCAUUUCUUAUUCACACUUUCUCAAAGAAACUAGAAGACUCAAAAAACUCUCUUCCUCUCUCAUGCCUACGGGUCUAACACCAAAAAGAAAGAAAACUCUCUCAAGCUCUCUACCCCUCAUACUUUUGGGUCCAGCCACUAGGAAAGAGAAGUUUUUUCAUGCAAGAGUGAUUUAUUUCUAUUUUCCCUUAAGAACCAUAAACUUGGUAUUACCAAUUCACCAGGUCUAAGCUCCUUUGACUGUGGGCUCUCGGUUCCUCUGCUUUCAGGUAAGGGAUAAGUUAUAUGGGUAUUUGGUAAGUCAUAAGGUUAUUUUAAAGUAUAUUAUGCAUUAAAAGGUUUUUGAUUAGAGAUAUGGCAUAUAAUCAUUAUUCUGACAAAGAUAUGUUCGUGAGCUUUCGAAACCUUAUGUAUAUGAUUUAAGCAUAUUGAUGUCAUUACUUAUUUCCACGAACAUGAUGUUUAAAGAAAAGAAUGGAAAUGUUAUUAGUAUGAAAUGUUAUGCAAAAUAAGAAAUUUCA